UACAGAGGUCUCAAGCGUUGUUCGGAUUCAUUGGGCGUAAAGGGUGCGUAGGCGGUUCGUACAGUCAGACGUGAAAUUCCUGGGCUCAACCUGGGGGCUGCGUUUGAUACGUGCGGACUUGAGUGCGGAAGAGGGUCGUGGAAUUCCCAGUGUAGAGGUGAAAUUCGUAGAUAUUGGGAAGAACACCGGUGGCGAAGGCGGCGACCUGGUCCGAUACUGACGCUGAGGCGCGAAAGCGUGGGGAGCAAACAGG
rnacentral:rRNA from 1 species